CAGAAGAGUCAGCAGCAGCCUUAACUCCCCAUACUAGCGUAACUCCUCCUUGUUCCAGUGAAUAAGGGCAGCAGCAAGCUGGGAGGAGACAGAGAAGACUGCAUCAUCUGGAAGGCCUGCCACCAGUAACUAAUGCUUCAUCAUCUUCACUUGUGUCUUGAUCUUCCAGAAGCUCAUCAGUCUCUUCUGAGUCAGGCUGUGCCUUUUAAAGGUUUUUCAGUCUGACUUGGCAGAUUUGAUACUGGCGUAUUUUGCCGGUGGUGUGACGUUUGGGAUGUAGUCUCAGCCAGGCACCUUCAGGGUGUUAUUAAUGAUUCUAGCAUAUUUAAAAACACAAUGCCUUGCUGGUGACCCGAUCCUGGUCCCGGCUGUUAAAGUCUUCCAGUAGGUCGAGCGGGAAAUUAAUGGAAUCUGCUCUUGCUUCUGGAAGAAGAAAAUAUACAUAUCACCUUUGGAAAAAUUGCUUUCUAGUUUGAACCUGUUAUGAAAGGAGACAUACCAAAGGGAAGCAAUUAUGUUUCACAACAGUAGC